rnacentral:lncRNA from 1 species
AGCCCGACAUCAAUCCUGGCAAAGUCUAUUAAUUUUUUAAGUACACAAAAGCAAAAUUCACUAGGGUUCAAAAAUUUUGCUCAGCACAACAGUCCUAGUGAAGAUCACCUUGCUGGACUAGUCUCAUUUUUUUGUUAUAUUCUAUGAAUACUCAUUUUGUAUCAAUACUCAUCUAUCAAUAUUGUCUUUUUGUUUUGUUUUUUUGAGACAGGGUCUCACUAUGUGUUCCAGGCUGGCCUUGAACUCACUAGGUAGCCCAGGCUGGCCUCAAACACAUAGCAAUCCUCCUGCCUCAGCCUCCCUAGUGCUGUAACUAUAGGUGUACACUUCUACAUCACAUGCUGUUUCCUGUCUUUCACAGAUAAAAGUAUAAAACAAACAAAAGCUGUGUAAAGAAUCAAAGCCAACUUAGCAGCUAGCACUUCAACUGGGCCACAACUGUGCGGAUGGUGGGUCAUGGGCACACUGAACGUCAUUAACCACUGUAACCUUGAAGGAUCCAAAUGAAACCCAUUAAAAUUAUUUUACUGACUAGCUUAAAACAGAAAUGGAGCCAAAUGUGGUAGAACACACCUGUGAUCCCAGCACUUUGGAGGCUGAGAUAGGAGGAUCACUGUGAGUUUGAGACCAGCCUGGGCUAAUAUAGUGAGUUCAAGGCCAGUCUGAAUGAACCACAUAGUGAGACCCUCUCUCAAAAAAACCAAAAACCAAAAACCAAAACAAAAAUAACCCCCCAGAAAUGAGACAAAUAGCAUUACUACCUCUAGUGAUAUGAGCCCCCUGGAUCUUCUCUGCUAAUCUCUGGAAACUAAGUAGAAAACCUAAAUUUUAUCUUAUGGAAAUAAAAAUCUAAUUUCAAAGACAGUUUUUGAUUCCCCAACUUGCUUCUACAACUCAGGUAUUACUCAAGAAGUGAUUUAUAUUUAUAUAUAAUGUAAUGAAAGAUAUUCUGUAGUAAUAAUUGAAUGGUGAUGUUUAAGUACCAUGUAUAAUACCAAAUCCCCACAAAUCUAGGUCAAAUAAGCAGAAACAUUUGAGAGCUUGAAAAUAUAAAAAUAGAAAUAAGGAAGAGAAAUUAACCUAAAAGAGUACAUUAGAUAAUAAUUUUAAUUAUUUGUACAUUUAAAAAAUAGUUUUAUGCUUUAAAAAUAAUCAUCUAGCCGGGGAUUUAGCUCAGUGGUUCUGCUGCCUGCCUGGCAAGUGUAAGGACCCGAGUUCAACUGUGGUACCAAAAAAAAAAAAAAAAAAAGACAAAAAUAGUCAUCUAGUCAUAAGAAGACCCAGAUCUAAUACACUGCUUCUUUUUAGAAUGAUUUUUGAAAUAGUGGACAGAAAACUGACAAGUCUCAGUUGAUUGCACUUAUACAUGGAAAGAAAAAUGUUUUUAACAAAGG